GAGGGGGAAACGCAAGGCAUUGAAGAUUCGAAGGAGAUUACAGGUGUAGUUGAUGGGGAAGAUGGAAGAGGAGGGGGUUUGGAGGAGGAUGUAAAAAGAAUUCCUCCGUGGACCAAGCAAAUCAGCCUUCGAGGAGUAAUCGCGAGCAUCGUGAUUGGGAUCGUAUACAGCGUGAUCGUGAUGAAGCUCAAUCUCACCACUGGCUUGUUGCCUAAUCUCAACGUCUCAGCUGCACUUCUUGCGCCUUUGUCUUCAUCCAGACGUGGACCAAGCUGCUUCAGAGGGCAAGUUUCGCCUCAGCUCCGUUCACCAGGCAAGAGAAUACCAUUAUUCAGACUUGUGCUGUUGCAUGCUAUAGCAUAGCCGUUGCAGGUGGUUUUGGGUCUUAUCUCCUCGGAUUAAACAAGAGGACGUACGAACAAGCUGGAGUUGAUAGCGAGGGAAAUGUGCCAGGGAGCUACAAGGAACCUGGCGUUGAGUGGAUGAUCGUUUCCUUUUUGUUGUCAGCUUUGUUGGCCUUUUGGCUUUGGUUCCUCUUAGAAAGAUCAUGAUAAUUGAUUACAAGUUGACUUAUCCUAGUGGAACUGCAACUGCAGUACUCAUCAACGGUUUCCAUACUCCCAAGGGGGACAAAAAUGCCAAGAAACAGGUACAGGGGUUCAUGAAAUUCUUCUCAAUCAGUUUCCUGUGGGGAAUGUUUCAGUGGUUCUACUCUGGUGGAAGCCAAUGCGGAUUCGUCAACUUCCACAUUUGGGCUGAAAGCUUGGAGACAAACAUUCUAUUUUGAUUUCAGUAUGACAUACAUAGGAGCUGGAAUGAUUUGUUCUCAUCUUGUCAAUUUGUCUUUGCUCUUUGGAGCGGUUCUCUCUUGGGGCAUAAUGUGGCCACUAAUACACGACCGCAAGGGGGAUUGGUUCCCCAGAACGUUAUCAGAAAGCAGUAUGAAGAGUCUAAAUGGUUACAAGGUCUUUAUUUCUAUUGCCCUUAUUCUUGGGGACGGAUUGUACAAUUUCUUAAGUCGCUCUUCUUCACCGGACUAAGUCUACGUGCUGCAUUGAAGAAGACUCGUAUAUCAGAAACCUCAGACAGUAGAACUCAGCCACUUGACGAUCUUCAACGAAACGAAGUCUUCAUGAGAGAGAGCAUUCCUUUAUGGGUAGCAUGUGUUGGAUAUUUCUUGUUCUCCAUUAUAUCCAUCGCUGUGAUUCCAAAAAUGUUUCCACAGCUGAAGUGGUACUUUGUUCUCGUUGCCUACUUGCUUGCUCCAUCACUAAGUUUCUGCAAUGCUUAUGGUGCUGGUCUGACCGACAUGAACAUGGCAUACAAUUAUGGGAAGGUAGCCCUCUUUGUGCUUGCCGCCUUGGCUGGAAAAGAUAAUGGUGUAGUUGCGGGCUUAUUGGUUGUGGGCUCAUAAAAUCUAUAGUUUCCAUAUCCUCUGACUUGAUGCAUGACUUCAAGACCGGUCAUCUCACCCUUACAUCCCCUCGGUCAAUGCUGCUUGGCCAAGGCAUUGGGACCGCCAUUGGCUGCAUAGUAGCCCCAAUAACUUUCUUGCUUUUCUACAAGGCCUUUGAUGUUGGAAAUCCUGACGGCGAAUAUAAGGCUCCCUACGCACUGAUAUACAGAAACAUGGCAAUUCUGGGUGUUGAAGGCUUCUCUGCACUGCCACAGCAUUGCUUGCAGCUGUGUUAUGGGUUUUUUGCUUUUGCUUUUGUGGCCAACCUUUUUAGAGACAUAACCCCCAAAAGAUUGGGAAAUGGGUGCCGCUUCCGAUGGCCAUGGCGGUGCCAUUCCUUGUAGGUGCUUAUUUUGCAAUCGAUAUGUGCGUGGGCAGUUUGGUCGUCUAUGUAUGGCACAAGCUCAAUAGCAGGAAGGCCACUUUGAUGGUUCCUGCCGUUGCUUCCGGUAUGAUAUGUGGAGAUGGAUUGUGGAUUCUCCCCUCAUCGAUUCUAGCUUUAUUCAAGGUUAACCCGCCAAUCUGCAUGAGCUUCUUGCCUACACACCAAGGUCCUGAAGCAGUAGUUGUAGCAAAGCAGGAAGCUGCCAACGACUUCACUAAGUGGAUUCAUUUUAGCAUAUGCAUCAGCAUUCGUAAAUUCUCGUGCAGGAGGCGCGUGGUUACGUGCCACGGCUCCGGGGACAGUUCCGUAAUUUUGAACCGUACCAACCCCGACCACCGCUGCUGCUGCUGCUGCUGCUGCUCUCGUACUCUCGCGCUCUGUCUCUCUCUCUCUCUCUCUCGCUUGUUUCAAAGAUUCUGUGUUGGUAGUUUGGCUAACGAUCCGAGAAGGAGAAGGAAAGAGAGAGAAGGUAGGGAGAAUCUAUUCUUUCUAUACAUUUCACCGAAAAUCCUUCUCCCUCCCUAUUUGCAGGAAACAAUGGCAUCAGAUCAGAAGGUUCACACCUUUGACGAGGUUGUUCAGCACAACAAGACCAAGGAUUGCUGGCUGAUUAUCAAUGGAAAGGUGUAUGAUGUUACCCCGUUCAUGGAAGAACAUCCUGGAGGUGAUGAAGUUUUGCUUUCAGCAACUGGGAAAGAUGCAACAAAUGACUUUGAGGAUGUUGGCCAUAGUGACUCUGCUAGAGAUAUGAUGGACCAAUACUACAUUGGGGAGAUAGACAAGGCCACAGUUCCCCUGAAACGCAUGUACAUCCCACCACAGCAAGCCCAGUAUAACCCUGACAAGACUCCAGAAUUCGUGAUCAAGAUCUUACAGUUUCUUGUACCCCUCUUGAUCAUGGGUUUGGCCUUUGCUGUCCGACACUAUACCAAGGAGAAGUAAACAAUUAGUAUUCACUUGGCUCUGGUCCUAUGAUGACCUUCCAUUUACGUAGUGUUUGACUGUCAUUACAUUUUCUUAAAACAACUUUUGCGCUGAUUCUGGACUUGUAUUCUCAAGUUAGUAUCCGGUUUUGCAUUAUCCUCCAUUACGCUUGCGCUUUUCUUCUCUUUAUACUUGUUGUAAUCAGGAGUCAGGACUCCAGUUGCGCUUGCAUGGUCGAAUUUUUAGCUUGUUUGGUGUU